rnacentral:rRNA from 1 species
GAUGAACGCUGGCGGCGUGCCUAAUACAUGCAAGUCGAGCGAACAGACGAGGAGCUUGCUCCUUUGACGUUAGCGGCGGACGGGUGAGUAACACGUGGAUAACCUACCUAUAAGACUGGGAUAACUUCGGGAAACCGGAGCUAAUACCGGAUAACAUGUUGAACCGUAUGGUUCAACAGUGAAAGACGGUCUUGCUGUCACUUAUAGAUGGAUCCGCGCCGCAUUAGCUAGUUGGUAAGGUAACGGCUUACCAAGGCAACGAUGCGUACCCGACCUGAGAGGGUGAUCGGCCACACUAGAACUGAGACACGGUCCAGAAUCCUGAGGGAGGCCGCAGUAGGGAAUGUGGCGCAAUGGGCGAAAGCCUGACGGAGCGACGCAGCGUGAGUGAAGGAGGUCUUCGGAGCGUAAAACUCUGUUAUUAGGGAAGAACAAAUGUGUAAGUAACUAUGCACGUCUUGACGGUACCUAAUCAGAAAGCCACGGCUAACUACGUG